rnacentral:rRNA from 1 species
AUUGCCUCAGUAACGGCGAGUGAAGCGGCAACAGCUCAAAUUUGAAAUCUGGCCCUAGGCCCGAGUUGUAAUUUGCAGAGGAUGCUUUUGGCAAGGUGCCUUCCGAGUUCCCUGGAACGGGACGCCAUAGAGGGUGAGAGCCCCGUCUGGUCGGACACCGAGCCUCUGUAAAGCUCCUUCGACGAGUCGAGUAGUUUGGGAAUGCUGCUCAAAAUGGGAGGUAUAUGUCUUCUAAAGCUAAAUACCGGCCAGAGACCGAUAGCGCACAAGUAGAGUGAUCGAAAGAUGAAAAGCACUUUGAAAAGAGAGUUAAAUAGCACGUGAAAUUGUUGAAAGGGAAGCGUUUAUGACCAGACUUGGCCCGGUUGAUCAUCCAGCCUUCUGGGUGGUGCACUCUGCCGGUCCAGGCCAGCAUCAGUUCGCUCCGGGGGAUAAAGGUUUCGGGAAUGUAGCUCCUCCGGGAGUGUUAUAGCCCGUUGCGUAAUACCCUGGGGUGGACUGAGGUCCGCGCUCUGCAAGGAUGCUGGCGUAAUGGUCAUCAACGACCCGUCUUGAAACACGGACCAAGGAGUCGUCUUCGUAUGCGAGUGUUCGGGUGUAAAACCCCUACGCGUAAUGAAAGUGAACGCAGGUGAGAGCUUCGGCGCAUCAUCGACCGAUCCUGAUGUUCUCGGAUGGAUUUGAGUAAGAGCAUACGGGGCCGGACCCGAAAGAAGGUGAACUAUGCCUGUAUAGGGUGAAGCCAGAGGAAACUCUGGUGGAGGCUCGCAGCGGUUCUGACGUGCAAAUCGAUCGUCAAAUAUGGGCAUGGGGGCGAAAGACUAAU